CUCGGAAUUGCCACCGGGGAUUGUGUCCCACAUCUCUUUCAUCUAAGAAUCUGCCUCAUAAUCCCCCAUUCUCCCUCAUCCGCCUCUCCUCAGUGUAAACUACUUCCCCUUUUCUUCCCCUUCCUCUUUUUCUCCGCACUUUUCCUCUUCUCCCCUUUCUCUUUUCCCCUUUCCGCUGUUUGAAUAGUCACCUCUAACCAAUUCCUCCAUAUCGUCUUCCCUGUAAACAUCACCUUCCUCAUCAUCUAAUCCAAAAUCCACACCACUGAGUCUUUAGCAGUUGAUUUUUCCAUCAGUUAUUUUCCACGCUCUGCCUUUGAGUCCUUGUACACUGGAGUUGGGAUCACUCGUGGUGUUCAUAAAGAGCAUCAUCUACGUUGCCAGGAGAUGUUGCUGAGACUCAUCACCAUCAGACUGGAUAUCCUCAUUGAAAUCCAUCAAUGGCUCACAGUCUUCAUAUCGAGGGGCGAAGAGGAACUUACAGAACGUCUUCGUAACCCAUGAUUGAUGCCCAAAAUCACUCUCUGAUGCAGCACAAGUGAGAACAAGCUGGGCGUAUCCGCGUUAAGGUAUGUGCGCAUUCCUUUGAAAUGUCUCAUCUUGUGAUUGUUGUACCCUUGAAUUGCUGGAAUAUGUGUAAA